rnacentral:rRNA from 1 species
AUUGAACGCUAGCGGGAUGCUUUACACAUGCAAGGAGAACGAGUGGAGGACGGGUGAGGAAUAUAACGGAACGUGCCCAGUAGCGGGGGAUAACUACUCGACAGAGUGGCUAAUACCGCAUACGAUUGGAGCGGCCGAUAUCGGAUUAGCUAGUUGUUGGGGUAAAGGCUCACCAAGGAAACGAUCCGUAGCUGGUUUGAGAGGACGACCAGCCACACUGGGACUGAGACAAGGCCCAGACUCCUCCGUGAGGCAGCAGUGGGGAAUUUUGGACAAUGGGGGAAACCCUGAUCCAGCCAUCCCUCGUGUAUGAGAAGUCCUUCGGGUUGUAAAGUACUUUUGGCAGAGAAGCGGUAUCUGCAGAAUAAGCACCGGCUAACUACGUGCCAGCAGCCGCGGUAAUUC